rnacentral:rRNA from 1 species
AGCGAACGCUGGCGGCAGGCCUAACACAUGCAAGUCGAACGAAGUCUUCGGACUUAGUGGCGGACGGGUGAGUAACACGUGGGAACGUGCCUUUAGGUUCGGAAUAACUCAGGGAAACUUGUGCUAAUACCGAAUGUGCCCUUCGGGGGAAAGAUUUAUCGCCUUUAGAGCGGCCCGCGUCUGAUUAGCUAGUUGGUGGGGUAAAGGCUCACCAAGGCGACGAUCAGUAGCUGGUCUGAGAGGAUGAUCGGCCACAUUGGGACUGAGACACGGCCCAAACUCCUACGGGAGGCAGCAGUGGGGAAUCUUGCGCAAUGGGCGAAAGCCUGACGCAGCCAUGCCGCGUGAAUGAUGAAGGUCUUAGGAUUGUAAAAUUCUUUCACCGGGGACGAUAAUGACGGUACCCGGAGAAGAAGCCCCGGCUAACUUCGUGCCAGCAGCCGCGGUAAUAC